UACGUAGGGCGCAAGCGUUGUCCGGAAUUAUUGGGCGUAAAGAGCUCGUAGGCGGCCAGUUGCGUCCGCUGUGAAAUCCCAGGGCUUAACCCUGGGCGUGCAGUGGAUACGGGCUGGCUGGAGGCAGGCAGGGGAGAACGGAAUUCCCGGUGUAGCGGUGAAAUGCGCAGAUAUCAGGAGGAACACCAAUGGCGAAGGCAGCUCGCUGGGACGGUACUGACGCUGAGACGCGAAAGCGUGGGGAGCAAACAGG
rnacentral:rRNA from 1 species